AGUGAAAUACCAGUUCCUGUAUGAUCACUAAAGUUAAGCAACAUUGAGCUUGGUCAGUACCUAGAUGAGUGAUGGCUUGGGAAUACCAAGUGCUGUAAG